CUAGUGUGUGCAGGGAUGGCCGAGUGGUCUAAGGCGCCAGACUCAAGCAAAGCUUGCCCAGGUUCGGGUAUUCUGGUGGCGUAUGCCCGCGUGGGUUCGAAUCCCACUUCCUGCAAAUA
rnacentral:tRNA from 1 species